rnacentral:rRNA from 1 species
UACGUAGGGAGCAAGCGUUGUCCGGAAUUACUGGGUGUAAAGGGCGAGUAGGCGGGACAAAAAGUCAGAUGUGAAAACUAUGGGCUCAACCCAUAGCCUGCAUUUGAAACUUUUGUUCUUGAGAGAUGGAGAGGUAAGCGGAAUUCCUAGUGUAGCGGUGAAAUGCGUAGAUAUUAGGAGGAACACCAGUGGCGAAGGCGGCUUACUGGACAUUUACUGACGCUGAGGAGCGAAAGCGUGGGGAGCGAACAGGAUUAGAUACCCUGGUAGU